UACGUAGGGUGCGAGCGUUAAUCGGAAUUACUGGGCGUAAAGCGUGCGCAGGCGGUUUUGUAAGCCAGAUGUGAAAUCCCCGGGCUUAACCUGGGAAUGGCAUUUGGGACUGCAAGGCUCGAGUGCGGCAGAGGAGACUGGAAUUCCUGGUGUAGCGGUGAAAUGCGCAGAUAUCAGGAGGAACACCGAUGGCGAAGGCAGGUCUCUGGGCCACUACUGACGCUGAGAAGCGAAAGCAUGGGGAGCGAACAGG
rnacentral:rRNA from 1 species